ensembl:lncRNA
GGACUCUGGUCAUAACCAGUGGCUUAUAUUGGGCUCUGGUCAUAACUAGUGGCUUAUAUUGGGCUCUGGUCAUAACUAGUGGCUUAUAUAAGGCUCUGGUCUAAACUAGUUGCUUAUAUAGGGGGCCAUUUGGGAUGUGUCACAUGUCUUGUCUGUGAGUUUAUUAGAGCAUUCUGAGGUAUACUGUUGAUGUGGGCGGAGGUACAGCACUGUGGAUGUAGGUGGAGGUACAGCGCUGUGUAUGUAGGUGGAGGUACAGCUCUGUGGAUGUACAGCACUGUGGAUGUAGGUGGAGGUACAGCACUGUGUAUGUAGGUGGAGGUACAGCACUGUGGAUGUAGGUGGAGGUACAGCACUGUGGAUGUAGGUGGAGAUACAGC